rnacentral:rRNA from 1 species
UACGGGGGGAGCAAGCGUUGUUCGGAUUUACUGGGCGUAAAGGGCGCGUAGGCGGUCGUGACAAGUCACUUGUGAAAUCUCCGGGCUUAACUCGGAACGGUCAAGUGAUACUGUCGGACUAGAGUACAGAAGGGGCAACUGGAAUUCUCGGUGUAGCGGUGAAAUGCGUAGAUAUCGGGUGGAACACCAGUGGCGAAGGCGGUGUUCUGGGCCGGAACUGACGCUGAGGAGCGAAAGCGUGGGUAGCAAACAGG